AUAAUCACCAGUGUAUUUUCUUUCAGAACCGCUGAUUUCCCGUUGCAAUAUUUGGCUUGAGCUUGUAACUGCUGCAGGUACUCCGGAUACCAUCGAGCCCAAAUGGUUUGCAGAUGUUUUUGUACCAACUGGUAUUCCCUCAAAUAGUUGCUCGGUGUCUCGGUGUAAUCGAUGAUUGGUACCGCUUGCAGAUUGCCACCGACGAGGAAGUGUCCCGGUGUCAAUGGUUCCAAGUCCGACGGCUCAUCGGAUAGAGGUGUAAUUGGUCGCGAAUUCAAACAUUGCUCUACCUGGGCAAGUAGGCUGCCUUCACCGCCGCCUCCCAUAAACCUCCAAAAUGUGGUGCUCUUGGUGGGAUAAACUUCCACUUCAUAUGAUUCAUCGCGCACCAAUCAAA